GAAAUGCGAUAAGUAAUGUGAAUGGCAGAAUUCAGUGAAUCAUCGAAUCUUUGAACGCACAUUGCGCCCGCCAGUAUUCUGGCGGGCAUGCCUGUUCGAGCGUCAUUUCAACCAUCAAGCCCCCGGCUUGUGUUGGGGACCUGCGGCUGCCCGCAGGCCCUGAAAAACAGUGGCGGGCUCGCUGUCACACCGAGCGUAGUAGCAUACAUUCUCGCUCAGGGCGUGCUGCGGGUUCCGGCCGUUAAACGACCUUCAUAACCCAAGGUUGACCUCGGAUCAGGUAGGAAGACCCGCUGAACUUAAGC
rnacentral:misc_RNA from 1 species